rnacentral:rRNA from 1 species
AUGUCUACCUCCAGCCAAACUCCAUCCAUUGCCCUUACCAACACCACAUCCGAGCCCCUCACAAGAACCAACUACAUCCUAUGGAGAGCCCAAGCUCGCUCCUAGAUCAUGGGUGCCGGGCUAUAUGGGUAUAUAGAUCAAACCACACCCGAGCCAAACAAAACCAUAGUCACCAAGACCUUAGAAGAAAAGGACCAAAUCGCUCCUAACCCUGAAUACAAACCAUGGAUUCAAGAUUAG